rnacentral:rRNA from 1 species
CUUUCCUACGGGAGGCAGCAGUCGGGAAUAUUGCGCAAUGGAGGAAACUCUGACGCAGUGACGCCGCGUAUAGGAAGAAGGUUUUCGGAUUGUAAACUAUUGUCGUUAGGGAAGAUACAAGACAGUACCUAAGGAGGAAGCCCCGGCUAACUAUGUGCCAGCAGCCGCGGAAAUACGUAGGGAGCGAGCGUUAUCCGGAAUUAUUGGGCGUAAAGGGUGCGUAGAUGGCAUAGUAAGUCUUUUGUAAAA